CCGCGCCCUUCAGAAGUUGGUUCUUGCUCCACUACAGGGAAAGGAGAUAGCUGACAAUUUUUAAGAGCAGACCUCCAAGCCAUGUAACAGCCAUGAAAGGUCCAUGCUGCAAGGAAACUUCAAAGGAAAGGGAUAAAAAUAACAACCAGGCCUACACUACAGAAACAGAAACAAGCAG